rnacentral:rRNA from 1 species
GUAUCCCUACGGGGGGCAGCAGUAGGGAAUCUUCCACAAUGGGCGAAAGCCUGAUGGAGCAACGCCGCGUGGGUGAAGAAGGUCUUCGGAUCGUAAAACCCUGUUGUUAGAGAAGAAAGUGCGUGAGAGUAACUGUUCACGUUUCGACGGUAUCUAACCAGAAAGCCACGGCUAACUACGUGCCAGCAGCCGCGGCAAUACGUAGGUGGCAAGAGUUAUCCGGAUUUAUUGGGCGUAAAGGGCACGCAGGCG